CCUACGGGUGGCUGCAGUAGGGAAUAUUGGACAAUGGGUGCGAGCCUGAUCCAGCCAUGCCGCGUGCAGGAAGAAGGCGUUAUGCGUUGUAAACUGCUUUUGCCAGGGGAUAAAAUAACUGUGCGCAGUUGAUUGAAGGUACCUGGUGAAUAAGCCACGGCUAACUACGUGCCAGCAGCCGCGGUAAUACGUAGGUGGCACGCGUUUACCGGAUUUAUUGGGUUUGAAGGGGGCCCUGGAGGCCAUUUAUGAAAGAUCUCAGCUUAACUGAGAGGGUGCCAUUGAUACUGCGGGGCUUGAGUACAGAUGAGGUAGGCGGAAUUGACGGUGUAGCGGUGAAAUGCAUAGAUAUCGUCAAGAACACCGAUAGCGAAGGCAGCUUACCAAGCUGUAACUGACGCUGAGGCACGAAAGUGUGGGGAUCAAACAGGAUUAGAUACCCUUGUAGUC
rnacentral:rRNA from 1 species